rnacentral:rRNA from 1 species
CCUACGGGAGGCAGCAGUAGGGAAUCUUCCACAAUGGGCGAAAGCCUGAUGGAGCAACGCCGCGUGGGUGAAGAAGGUCUUCGGAUUGUAAAACCCUGUUGUUAGAGAAGAAAGUGCGUGAGAGUAACUGUUCACGUUUCGACGGUAUCUAACCAGAAAGCCACGGCUAACUACGUGCCAGCAGCCGCGGUAAUACGUAGGUGGCAAGCGUUAUCCGGAUUUAUUGGGCGUAAAGGGAACGCAGGCGGUCUUUUAAGUCUGAUGUGAAAGCCUUCGGCUUAACCGGAGUAGUGCAUUGGAAACUGGGAGACUGGAGUGCAGAAGAGGAGAGUGGAACUCCAUGUGUAGCGGUGAAAUGCGUAGAUAUAUGGAAGAACACCAGUGGCGAAAGCGGCUCUCUGGUCUGUAACUGACGCUGAGGUCCGAAAGCGUGGGUAGCAAACAGGAUUAGAUACCCGAGUAGUC